UGCUCAUGAAUUCUCACAUGUUUCUGGUUGCAGCACCAUCCACUGACCAACCUGAUGACUCUAUUGCUGCAAAGGUGUCAUACAUAGUUGUUGUCUGAUCUGUGGAAGCUCACCAAGUGCAGAGCCAAAACCACAAUGGAAUGCAGUUGCUAUGACAACAACAGCAACAACAACAACACGCUAAACUGCAACAAAACGGCAACCUUCAGCAUCCUGUUUAUUUUCACCUUUCAAAUCGUUCCUGAUUGGUUGUCUCCAUUUUACGUUGGAAAAUCUGUCUUCUUCACCAAUCGACUGUCUGUGUGCUCGUCCUUUAAUCAGUCUCUCUUUCUGUCUCUCUCUCUCGUGAUUCAGACAGGCGUCUGUCUGACGCUGAACAUGUGUUCAAACAGAAGAACUGCUAAUAAACUUUGAACGUCAAAA